rnacentral:rRNA from 1 species
GUGGGGAAUAUUGGGCAAUGGGCGAAAGCCUGACCCAGCAACGCCGCGUGAGGGAAGAAGGCCUUCGGGUUGUAAACCUCUGUCCUUGGUGACGAAAAAAAUGACGGUAGCCAAGGAGGAAGCCCCGGCUAACUACGUGCCAGCAGCCGCGGUAAUACGUAGGGGGCGAGCGUUGUCCGGAAUUACUGGGCGUAAAGGGUGCGUAGGUGGCCUUUUAAGUUGGAUGUGAAAUACCCGGGCUUAACUUGGGGGGUGCAUCUAAUACUGGAGGGCUAGAGUGCAGGAGAGGGAAGCGGAAUUCCUAGUGUAGCGGUGAAAUGCGUAGAUAUUAGGAGGAACACCAGUGGCGAAGGCGGCUUUCUGGACUGUAACUGACACUGAGGCACGAAAGCGUGGGGAGCAAACAGGAUUAGAAACCCCUGUAGUCC